UGCUUUCAAGUAGAGUACUCACAACAGCUAGGCCAGCAUCAGUUUUGUGGGUAGGAUAAAUAUCAAGGAAUGUGGCUGCUUGCAGUGUUAUAGCCUUGUAAAUACUGCCACACGGGACUGAGGACUGCUUUACAGGAUGCUGGCGUAAUGGGCUUAAGCCACCC
rnacentral:rRNA from 1 species